UUUGUUACUUCAAACCAAUCGGACUUCGGUCUGACAUCAAGUGAUAUUGAACAAUUUAGCUGAUCGCACGGUCUAAGAACCGGCGACAUAUCCUUCAAAUGUCUGCCUUAUCAACUUUCGAUGGUAGAUUAUGCGCCUACCAUGGUAGUAACGGGUAACGGAGAAUCAGGGUUUGAUUCCGGAGAGGGAGCCUGAGAAACGGCUACCACAUCCAAGGAAGGCAGCAGGCACGCAAAUUACCCACUCCCGGCACGGGGAGGUAGUGACGAAAAAUAACAAGCUGGUCUCAAUGAGUUCCAGCAUUGUAAUGGGAACAAUUUAAAUCUUUUAUCGAGGAUCUAUUGGAGGGCAAGUCUGGUGCCAGCAGCCGCGGUAAUUCCAGCUCCAAUAGCGUAUAUUAAAGUUGUUGCGGUUAAAAAGCUCGUAGUUGGAUCUAGGAUUAGGGCUACGGUCGUUCAGCUUGGACGUACUGUAUGCCCGACUCCUUUUCUCUAGUAUUCGAUUGUUGCUCUUAAAUGAGUGACUUUAGUUGCUGGAACUUUUACCUUGAAAAAAUUGAAGUGCUCAAAGCAGGUU
rnacentral:rRNA from 1 species